rnacentral:tRNA from 1 species
GGGGAGGUGGUUGAGUGGCUUAAAACAACGGUUUGCUAAAUCGUCACAUGUUAAUGUAACAUGUCAUGGGUUCGAAUCCCAUUCUUCCCA